UGGGGGAUAUUGCACAAUGGGCGAAAGCCUGAUGCAGCGACGCCGCGUGGGGGAUGAAGGCCUUCGGGUUGUAAACUUCUUUUGCUCUGAACAAGGCGCACCAUGGGGUGUGUUGAGUGUAGGGGUUGAUUAGCGCCGGCUAACCACGUGCCAGCAGCCGCGGUAAUACGUAGGGCGCGAGCGUUGUCCGGAAUUAUUGGGCGUAAAGGGCUUGUAGGUGGCUGGUUGCGUCUGUCGUGAAAGCUCAUGGCUUAACUGUGGGUUUGCGGUGGGUACGGGCUGGCUUGAGUGCGGUAGGGGAGGCUGGAAUUCCUGGUGUGGCGGUGGAAUGCGCAGAUAUCAGGAGGAAUACCGGUGGCGAAGGCGGGUCUCUGGGCUGUUACUGACACUGAGGAGCGAAAGCAUGGGGAGCGAACAGG
rnacentral:rRNA from 1 species